GGCUCAAUGGUCUAGUAGUAUGAUUCUCGCUUUGGGUUUGACUUAAAUGCGAGAGGUCCCGGGUUCAAAUCCCGGUUGAGCCC